rnacentral:rRNA from 1 species
ACGCUGGCGGCGUGCUAACUACAUGCAAGUCGAACGGUCUUUCUAUGGAAGCUUGCUUCCACUGAGAAGAUAGUGGCGAACGGGUGAGUAACACGUGGGUAACCUGCCCAUAAGAGGGGGGAUAACAUCCGGAAACGGGUGCUAAUACCGCAUAGUUUUCUUGAUCGCAUGAUUGAGAAAGGAAAGACGGCCUUUGUGCUGUCGCUUAUGGAUGGACCCGCGGCGUAUUAGUUAGUUGGUGAGGUAACGGCUCACCAAGACGAUGAUACGUAGCCGACCUGAGAGGGUGAUCGGCCACAUUGGGACUGAGACACGGCCCAAACUCCUACGGGAGGCAGCAGUAGGGAAUCUUCCGCAAUGGACGAAAGUCUGACGGAGCAACGCCGCGUGAGUGAAGAAAAGGUUUUCGGAUCGUAAAACUCUGUUGUCAGAGAAGAACAAGUUGGAGAGUAACUGCCCCAGCCUUGACGGUAUCUGACCAGAAAGCCACGGCUAACUACGUGCCAGCAGCAGC